AAACGGAAGCUGGGAACCGGCUGAUGAGGCCUGGGUAGUUGUACUGAGAGCCAAAGCCUGAGUGUCAAUGACCUGUUCAGGUGCAGAGCAAGCAGGCCUGCACCGUGGGGAAUCAUGUGGUGCAGACCUGGGGUCAGAACACAGGGUGGACUUCGGGGAAGGUAAAACUCGGGGCUGACGUGGGCGCCGCGCGGGGAAUGGUGGGGAAGUCUGCAGUGCAGCAGCUGGACCCGCCUCCCUACCGCCCUGGAUCCUCCCAGCCACUGGUGUGACUGUGGACUUCCAGAAGAACAGGCAGUGUCAGGACCCUUCUGGGAAGGCCUUGUUGCAGAAUUUCAGCACUCUGGUUUGUGUGGGUGAGAACAGUUUGCUUCCAGCCUCCCUUGUUCCUCCUCAGGAAGAGGGUUCACUGAUCACCCAGACCUGCUUAUCUGUGGAAACCUAGAAGGUGGAGAGGGAGGAGACAGUACCUAAGGAUCCAGGUUGUGAUGGUUUGUAUAUGGUUGGCCCAGGGAGUGGCAUUUUUUGGAGGUGUGGCCUUCUUGAUGUAGGUAUGCCACUAUAGGCUUGGGCUUUAAAACCUUCAUCAUAGCUGCCUGGAAGCCAGUCUUCUAGCUACGUUCAGAUGAAGAGAAGAACUCUUAGAUCCUCUUGCACGAUGCCUGCCUGGACACUGUCAAACCCCCACCUUGAUGAUAAUGAACUGAACUUCUGAACCUGUAAGCCAGCCCCAACUAAAUAUCCUUUUAAGGGUUGUGUUGGUCAUGGUAUCUGUUUAUAGCAGUAAAACCCUAACUAAGACAGAAGUCAUACUGUCCCUCCUCCAUAAUUAAAUCUAUUCCACCAUUCUUCCAUUUUUCCUCUUUAGAUCCUUUAGUUCCCUGUUAUUCCCCUUUCUAUUAUUCCCCCACAUUCCACAAUGAUCUGCUUUUAGUUUUCUGGUUACUGCAGGUACUCCAGGUUGUGAACUCACAUCAGAAGUUUUGGAUCUAGAAACUUCCUAUGAGAGAGAAGAUGCAAUGCCUGUCUUUCUGGUUCUGGGUUACUCCACUGACUGUGAUCUUUUAUUAGGCCACCUAUUUACCUGCAACACUCCUGACUUUAAUUUUCUUUACAGCUUAAUAAUAUUCCAUAGUGUAUAUGCACCACAUUUCCACUCUCCAUUUGUCCAUUGAAGGCCAUUUAAAUUGUUCCCCUUUUUAAAGCUAUUGUGAGUAGAGCAGCAGUGAACAUCUGUGGAGUAGGACAUUGAUUCCCUUGAACACAUGCAAAGGAGUAGAAGAGCUGUGUCACAUGCUAGAUUUAUUUAACUUGAGGAUUUGUUUAUUUAACUGGUUUGUCCAUAUUGAUACCCACAGUGGCUACAUUUUUUGUUCAUGGGAGUUUUAUUCCUCAUGCUUAUUGUUGUUUAUUAUUUAUUUAUGUUGUUGGUAGGAUUAUGGGUGCUAUUAUUCUUUCUCUGUGAGAACUAGUAUUUUUGCUGUUUUGCUUAUGGAUGAUUACUUCUUAGUUCUCCCGUAUUUAUCUACUUUCCAAAUAAAGUUUAUUAUUCCC
rnacentral:lncRNA from 1 species